rnacentral:rRNA from 1 species
GUGGGGAAUAUUGGACAAUGGGGGGAACCCUGAUCCAGCCAUGCCGCGUGUGUGAAGAAGGCCUUUUGGUUGUAAAGCACUUUAAGCGAGGAGGAGGCUACCGAGAUUAAUACUCUUGGAUAGUGGACGUUACUCGCAGAAUAAGCACCGGCUAACUCUGUGCCAGCAGCCGCGGUAAUACAGAGGGUGCGAGCGUUAAUCGGAGUUACUGGGCGUAAAGCGUACGUAGGCGGCUUUUUAAGUCGGAUGUGAAAUCCCUGAGCUUAACUUAGGAAUUGCAUUCGAUACUGGGAAGCUAGAGUAUGGGAGAGGAUGGUAGAAUUCCAGGUGUAGCGGUGAAAUGCGUAGAGAUCUGGAGGAAUACCGAUGGCGAAGGCAGCCAUCUGGCCUAAUACUGACGCUGAGGUACGAAAGCAUGGGGAGCAAACAGGAUUAGAAACCCCAGUAGUCC